rnacentral:lncRNA from 1 species
GCGACUGCUUGAAAACUUUCCGCACGUCUCGGGUCUGAUGCGCGCGCCAUCCCGUUCUGUUCUGAUUGCGGCUGAAAAAAAAGAGAAGAGCGCAUAAAUCGAUCACCUUGUACUCGUUCCCGAGGUCGCGUUUCAGCGGAGAAGCAAAGUGCUUUUGUUGUUUGGGUCCAGCUCUCGAGAGGCAACUGAAAGCAGAAUUGUACCAAAGAUAUAUGACCUGCUCCCUUUUGUGAAGCGUUUGUGAAGGGUCAGGCCGUAUGACGCUGAUAUUCAGACACAGCCGUGGACAUGGUGAACACUCGCUUCUCUGAAUGGCAUUAGAGCUGAUAAGAGCACGGCUCAAUGACUGACAGUGUUUUACUGGGUUAGCUUGAUGCAUGGUACCAUGGAGAGCAACAAUCUUCAGCUGAGAUCACAUUUAAGGGAAAAACAAUGCAUAAAACGUAGCUGUUGCCAUCAUUGAUGUCAAAAAGGAUUAGGGAAUGCUGCCUAUUGACAAGCUAGAUGACUUAAAUGUUCUUGAAGAUGACAUGGUGAUGCCUUCAAAACCCUGGUUUAGAGCACUGACUCUGGUUUUUGAGCGGUUUUAUGCCCUUGACAAACUACUUCAAUAAACAGACUUUUCAUCUCCUUAAAUUUGUGAAAAAGGUAACGUUGGCAAUUAUUAUUAUUAUUAAUUAUCCUAAAAUACCUCCUUUUUAUGUAAUUUCUUGUUUACACGUCAGAUUUUGCUUUAUGUUCAUGUUCAUGUAA